AGUGAACCAAGAGCCUAUCAAUCCAGCUCUACCUGUGGUCACCUUCAAGGCUAUGGGGGCACCACAGAAUCUCUACAAUCUUCACCUUGAUGCCCUCAAAGCCUUGGCGAUCUCUGCUCUUCACCGAGCUUCGAUCCUCUGCACGACCUAGCCAAUGAGGAGUGAAAUCAAUUGUGCAGACCUCCUCACCACCGCAGUAUACCUCAGCCUUGGAGCUAUUCGGAAGACCGCCACUACCUUCCUUAUGGCUGAAAAUCUUAUCUUAUAUCUAGGCACCUCUCAUGUAGGUGCUUCCAUC
rnacentral:lncRNA from 1 species